UACAGAGGUCUCAAGCGUUGUUCGGAUUCAUUGGGCGUAAAGGGUGCGUAGGCGGCUCGGUAAGUCGGGUGUGAAAUCUCGGAGCUUAACUCCGAAACUGCAUUCGAUACUGCCGUGCUUGAGGACUGGAGAGGAGACUGGAAUUUACGGUGUAGCGGUGAAAUGCGUAGAUAUCGUAAGGAAGACCAGUGGCGAAGGCGGGUCUCUGGACAGUUCCUGACGCUGAGGUGCGAAAGCGUGGGGAGCAAACAGG
rnacentral:rRNA from 1 species